CACCUAAUUCAUUUUUUUCUUUCUGUCACCCUCUACAAUAUUUAUCGACAACUCUCCUCAAGUUUUGCUUACACAUUGAGGACUCCGUGAUCGUAGAUGUAAUCUAUUAUCUCAGUUGUGAUCAUCGCUUAAGGUACGGACCCCUCUCCACAUAUGUGUACAAGUUUAGGUUUCCACUACCCAGUAGUCAGAAAGACUAAACUCGUUAUUUUGUUAUAUUAUUAUGUGGUACGGACUCUUAAACAACUUUAUGUGCACAAAUUUAGGUUUCCACUACCUCGUAGUUGAAGAUUUACAUUUCAAAUAUUGAUUAUGACACACUGAAGCACUGAUGGUGUCGCACCGAAAGGUGACGCACUGAAAAACUGAAUACUGAAUGUGAUUUUGUGACGCAUUGAAUGUGAACUGACUACGCAUUGAACUACUGAAUGUGACGCACUGAAGGUGACUAACUGAAUAUGUUAUAUGUAUUGUUUGAUAUAUAGAUAUCGUUAAGAAAAUAUAUAUUGCGUUGUUGUCCCACUGAGUAAACCCCGUUUACUCAGGCGUACAUUUGCCUUGUUAUGUACGUUAGGUUGCAAGGAUUGUCGGGAAGACUUGGAUGGAUGGUUCGAGGGAUUAAAGACGCACAUGGAUUUUCUUUAAAAGUUUAAAUUGUUUUGUACAAUAUUUCGAAUUUUUGAAAUAAUGUAAGUUUUAUAAUUUAGGGAGGGAUGUUUUGACCUCUGAUGUACUGUAUAAGUAACACGUCAACCCGAGCCGGGUUGGGGUGUUACAGUCAGUGUGGCGCACGCGCGCAUGGGAGUGAGCCAAAAUGGCGCACGCGCGCAUGAGCGUGCAGACUUGCACGCGCAAGGGCGCGCGCGCAGAAGCUUCCAGCAUGGAAUUAUACUGCAGUUAAAGUUCAGCUUUGAAACCGCCGAGUCAAACGGUUUUGACUGAGAAUUAAAUGACGAAUUAAAUUGCAUUGAAGACGUUUAAUGCAAUUUAUUCCUCUCAUUUAAUUUGAUUUUGGCUGUAUAAAUACAGCCUCUUAGUCACUGCAGAAGAGACCAGCAACACAACAGCAAAUUCAACUUUCUCUCAACAGCUUUCUGAUCUUCUACUUGCUCUCUUCAAGGUAGCCUUCGGGUUGUAGGGCAGCUCCGGUAGUACUACUGCUCUGGCUGUUGUACCCUGGGAAAUAAAACGAGUACUCCUGGGAGACUCGGAAUUUGUUUUAAGGGAAGAGUGUUGAACACAUGCCUCAGUCUUCGAUUUCAUCCUUUUCUUGUAUUUCCUUUAUUUCAGUUGUAAUUGUAAUAGUAUUUCUGCUUUCUUAGUUUCUGUUUUGUAAUCUUCAAAUAAAAUUUGUUUUAUU
rnacentral:lncRNA from 1 species